rnacentral:rRNA from 1 species
UUAUUUGAGAGUUUGAUCCUGGCUCAGGAUGAACGCUGGCGGCGUGCCUAACACAUGCAAGUUGAGCGAUUUACUUCGGUAAAGAGCAGCGGACGGGUGAGUAACGCGUGGGUAACCUACCC